GGGCGUCGGGAACUGUGACACCUUUAACGGUGGCACCUCACCCUGCUCCGGGGCCACGUCCUGGGGACUCCGACAGCUCCAAAUAAGCCCUCAGGGACUGGGGUUGUGAAAAGCGAGAUCGUGAAGACGCUGGCCUUAUACCGAAGGGUGGGACGGUGAGGUCAGCCCCGUCCCACUCCUACUAAAAUCGACCUGACAGGUAUUAAUAUGCCACCAUAAAGUUAACAAAAGUUGGUGAUUAAGUAUGCUGGGUUUUACGGAAACAGAUUUUCCAAAAUAAAUGUAGAUGUUGUAGGACCUCGCGAGCCAUUUGAGGCAGCAUUCCCCAAGGACGGCACUUUGAAGGUUUAGCGGCCAGAAAGAUUCUGAAGCUGAGUUCUGUCCUGCCGUCACAACCUUCGCUCCUAUGGCUUCACAGAAGCGUCUCCCAUGACUACCAAAUUUAACUCCUUCCAGAUCACCCAUGGGAGCACCUGACCAGAUUUAUUUAAUCAAUGUUAAGAACUAGGUUUUGUGCUCAGCUACGGUAUAGAGCAGCGAAUGAGACAAAACUGCAAGGCCCUGGGGGAAUGAUUAGGAAUAGCCAGUGAAAGGGAAAUUAAUGAAGUGUGUAAGUAUAUUAAUCAAGAAGUAUAUCCUUUCCCUUGAGGUAGAAUGUAAUAUAUCACCCUCCGCCCCCCCGAAGCCUGGGUUAAGAGAGAACAUUAACUGCUUAUUUCUCCUCUAUGCAUGGAGAGUCUUAUCUGUGUUCCAUCGUUUCACAUUCCUUGAGGCACAGCGAGUUCUUGCUUCCCUCCCUAGCGCUGCUGUAAAGUCACAAAACUGGUAAGUGUUACAAAAGCAGGUAUUCCCAAGGAUGUAAGGUGUAACAAAUGUAAAACAGUAACUGCCUUUGUUCUUGCUUCUGCAAGUACGCUUCCUGCAGCACGUAACUCCCGCCACAAACUGCUUAAAAGGUGAUUGAUCCCUUUAUUCCGGGCUCAGACUUUCUGGACCCUAGUCCGACUGAGCCGGUGAUCACCUUAAUAAUAAAGGCUCUCCUGAACUCUGCUCGGUCUCUCCCGUCUAUGAUUUAUCCCGCAACACUAGUUGCCUGCGGAACACCUCUACCUAGAGAGCUAACACUUAUCUCCGGUCAGUAAAUGCAAAACUAAACCCGUUGUCUCCUCCUACCAACUUGUCCCUCCUAUAAUGCCUGUGAUUAAAAGGCAUCACUAUGGCUGGGCGCGGUGGCUCACGCCUGUAAUCCCAGCACUUUGGGAGGCCGAGGCGGGCGGAUCACGAGGUCAGGAGAUCGAGACUAUGGUGAAAUCCCGUCUCUACUAAAAAUACAAAAAAAAUUAGCCGGGCGCGGUGGCGGGCGCCUGUAGUAGUCCCAGCUACUCAGGAGGCUGAGGCAGGAGAAUGGCGUGAACCCGGAGGCGGAGCUUGCAGUGAGCCGAGAUUGCGCCACUGCACUCCAGCCUGGGCGACAGAGCAAGACUCCGUCGAAAAAAAAAAAAAGAAAAAAAAAA
rnacentral:lncRNA from 1 species